rnacentral:lncRNA from 1 species
UGAUGAUCAACAGGAUCGAGCCUGUGUGACAUUUCAAUAGUCCAACAUCGGAUAAAAAUAAAAUUGUCAUUGGAUAUAUAAGAAAAUUUCAUCCUACUAAUAAUAAUUGAAUAUAAGUAUUUUGAACUGAUAGUUUAGACUCAACGAAUUAUUAUUGUUAGUUGUUUGGAUCGUUAUAUUUGGUAUCAGAGCCGAUUCACUAAUCAGAGUCACAAGUCUCACAUCAUACCUUUAUCUUUGGAUUCACCCAUUUUAUUAUAAUUAUUAAAAAAUAUCUUUAUUGCGAUUUGUUUUCAAAUAUAUAUAUAUAUAUAUAUAUAUAUGGUUGAUUGGGAAUAGAUAAUGUGGUGUAAGUGUUACAGUAUAGACUUUCUCCAACU